AUGUGGUCGGUGUGGAAUGCACGUAAUGCUCGCUUACAUGGUGAAUCAUCAACCAAAUUAACUCAAGCAUGUAGAUGGGCAUAUGACACUGCCACAGAUCUUAUUCAAACUGCUAGAGCAGCCAGAUCAUGUAGUAAAGUAAAAAUCACAAGUUGGCAAUGACCACAUCAAGGAUGUUAUAAAGUUAAUGUUGAUGCAUCUUGUAAUGUAGAUGAUAUGAAUGGAGCAUCUGGAGUUAUUAUAAGAGACGAACAGGGGCAUAUAGUUGCAGCAAGUAGCAUAUGGCAUGAAUUUGUUCCUGAUACACUGACAGCCGAGGCACUUGCUUGCAGAUAUGGAGCACAACUGAUGAAAACCUGGAGCAUAAAGCAAGCCAUAUUGGAAACAGAUUCGAUGGAAUUCACUUUGCUUUGGUGGAUGAAGCAUCAGCGGUCUAGAAUACUUACCAAGUUACCAUUGUAA
rnacentral:rRNA from 1 species